AGAACACCAACCCGCCAAGAAAACUGGAACGAAGAGGAGAAGAUGUGAUACGGGAACAUCGAGCCUAAACUGAGAGCAGCCGGAUGUGGAUCCCUGUGUUGGCGCGAGUGGCAGGAACCUCAAGUCUCUCCAAGUGCUCCGCCUGUCUUUGCUUUCCAACCCCACCGGUCCUCCAGAGCAUCACGUGAGAACACCAACCCGCCAAGAAAACUGGAACGAAGAGGAGAAGAUGUGAUACGGGAACAUCGAGCCUAAACUGAGAGCAGCCGGAUGUGGAUCCCUGUGUUGGCGCGAGUGGCAGGAACCUCAAGUCUCUCCAAGUGCUCCGCCUGUCUUUGCUUUCCAACCCCACCGGUCCUCCAGAGCAUCACGUGAGAACACCAACCCGCCAAGAAAACUGGAACGAAGAGGAGAAGAUGUGAUACGGGAACAUCGAGCCUAAACUGAGAGCAGCCGGAUGUGGAUCCCUGUGUUGGCGCGAGUGGCAGGAACCUCAAGUCUCUCCAAGUGCUCCGCCUGUCUUUGCUUUCCAACCCCACCGGUCCUCCAGAGCAUCACGUGAGAACACCAACCCGCCAAGAAAACUGGAACGAAGAGGAGAAGAUGUGAUACGGGAACAUCGAGCCUAAACUGAGAGCAGCCGGAUGUGGAUCCCUGUGUUGGCGCGAGUGGCAGGAACCUCAAGUCUCUCCAAGUGCUCCGCCUGUCUUUGCUUUCCAACCCCACCGGUCCUCCAGAGCAUCACGUGAGAACACCAACCCGCCAAGAAAACUGGAACGAAGAGGAGAAGAUGUGAUACGGGAACAUCGAGCCUAAACUGAGAGCAGCCGGAUGUGGAUCCCUGUGUUGGCGCGAGUGGCAGGAACCUCAAGUCUCUCCAAGUGCUCCGCCUGUCUUUGCUUUCCAACCCCACCGGUCCUCCAGAGCAUCACGUGAGGUAGGUCCGUGCUCCCAGAGCAGAUCUCCAGGGCUGGGUGUUCAGCAGCCCUAGGCCUCCACCCGCCUCCCCGUUUCCGUUUCUCU